UACGUAGGGUGCAAGCGUUGUCCGGAAUUAUUGGGCGUAAAGAGCUCGUAGGCGGUUUGUCGCGUCUGCUGUGAAAACGCGGGGCUCAACUCCGCGCCUGCAGUGGGUACGGGCAGACUAGAGUGAUGUAGGGGAGACUGGAAUUCCUGGUGUAGCGGUGAAAUGCGCAGAUAUCAGGAGGAACACCGAUGGCGAAGGCAGGUCUCUGGGCAUUAACUGACGCUGAGGAGCGAAAGCAUGGGGAGCGAACAGG
rnacentral:rRNA from 1 species